rnacentral:rRNA from 1 species
CCGUCUAUGGGUGAUGGCGUGCCUUUUGUAGAAUGAACCGGCGAGUUGUCCGUGUAUGCAAGGUUAAGCCGGAAAGGGCGGAGCCGGAGCGAAAGCGAGUCUGAAGAGGGCGGAAGAAAGAGUAUACGCGGGCAGACCCGAAACCGGGUGAUCUAGCCGUGGGCAGGUUGAAGCAGGAGUGAGAUCCUGUGGAGGACCGAACCGACUGCCGUUGAAAAGUCAGCGGAUGACCUGCGGCUAGCGGAGAAAUUCCAAUCGAACCCGGAGAUAGCUGGUUCUCCCCGAAAUAGCUUUAGGGCUAGCGUCGGCCGAUGGUAGCGGGAGGUAGAGCACUGAAUGCAUGAUGGCCCCAUCCCGGGGUACUGAAUGUGAUCAAACUGCGAAUGCCCGCUAUGGAAGGCCGGCAGUCAGACUGCGGGUGAUAAGGUCCGUGGUCGAGAGGGAAACAGCCCAGACCGCCAGCCAAGGUCCCGAAAUGCAGGCUAAGUGGAAAAGGAUGUGGGGACGCACAGACAGCUAGGAGGUUGGCUCAGAAGCAGCCAUCCUUUGAAGAGUGCGUAACAGCUCACUAGUCGAGUGGCCCUGCGCCGAAAAUGUACCGGGGCUAAGCCUGAUACCGAAGCUGCGGAUUUAGGAAACUAAGUGGUAGGGGAGCGUUGCAUGGUCGCAGAAGUAUGACCGCGAGGGCAUAUGGAGAGCAUGGAAGCGAGAAUGCCGGUGUGAGUAGCGAGAUGCAGGUGGGAAUCCUGCACACCGAAAGCCCAAGGAUUCCAGGGGAAGGUUCGUCCGCCCUGGGUAAGUCGGGACCUAACGCGAGGCCGAAAGGCGCAGCGGAUGGAAAGCAGGCGUAUAUUCCUGCACCCGGGCAGGUCCGGCGAAGGAGCGACGGAGACGGAGAGUGUGACCCUCUGAAUGGAUUGAGGGCCAAGCGAAGCAGUCGGGUACCAGGGAAAUCCGGUACCACAAGACAGAGCGCGAAGGGGAAGCGAAACCUGAGGGGAGUAGCGAAGCACAUGGCUACGGCUCCCGAGAAAAGCUUCUAGCUGAUGGAUCUGCCAGGCCCGUACCAAAACCGACACAGGUGGGCGCGUUGAGAAAACGAAGGUGAGCGAGAGAACUGUUGCCAAGGAACUCGGCAAAACGGCCCCGUACGUUCGCAAGAAGGGGCGCUCUUAUGAGCCGCAGUGAAAAGGCCCAAGCGACUGUUUAACUAAAACACAGCUCCCUGCCAAGCCGCAAGGCGACGUAUAGGGGGUGACACCUGCCCGGUGCUGGAAGGUUAAGGGGAUCUGUCAAUCGGAAGAUGAAGCAGUGGUCCGAAGCCCCAGUGAACGGCGGCCGUAACUAUAACGGUCCUAAGGUAGCGAAAUUCCUUGUCAGGUAAGUUCUGACCCGCACGAAAGGUGUAACGAUUUGGGCGCUGUCUCGGCAGCAGGCUCGGUGAAAUCUUAGUACCUGUGAAAAUGCAGGUUACCCGCAACUAGACGGAAAGACCCCAUGGAGCUUUACUGCAGCUCGGCAUUGGGUGCUGGACGGACAUGUACAGGAUAGGUGGGAGACGAAGAAGAAGGGACGCCAGUUCUUUCGGAGUCGAUGUUGGGAUACCACCCUUGUGCGUCCGGGGCCCUAACCUGGUCGAUAGGACAGGGAGAGUGCCAGGCGGGCAGUUUGACUGGGGCGGUCGCCUCCCAAAGAGUAACGGAGGCGCCCAAAGGUACGCUCAGGCUGGAUGGAAACCAGCCGGCGAGUGCAAAUGCAGAAGCGUGCCUGACUGUGAGAGCAACAACUCGAACAGGGACGAAAGUCGGGAUUAGUGAUCCGGCGGUGCCGAAUGGAAGGGCCGUCGCUCAACGGAUAAAAGCUACCCUGGGGAUAACAGGCUGAUCUCGCCCAAGAGUUCACAUCGACGGCGAGGUUUGGCACCUCGAUGUCGGCUCAUCGCAUCCUGGAGCUGGAUUCGGUUCCAAGGGUUGGGCUGUCCGCCCAUUAAAGCGGUACGCGAGCUGGGUUCAGAACGUCGUGAGACAGUUCGGUCCCUAUCUGUUGUGGGCGUCGGAGAUCUGAGGGGAGCUGUCCUCAGUACGAGAGGACCGGGAUGGACCUGCCGCUGGUGCAUCGGUUGUUCCGCCAGGAGCACAGCCGGGUAGCCAAGCAGGGAAGGGAUAAGAGCUGAAAGCAUCUAAGCACGAAGCCCACCCCGAGAUGAGAUCUCCCAAUCUUGAAAAGAGAAGUAAGGCCCCUUGAAGACGACAAGGUGGAUAGGCCGGGAAUGGAAGGGCAGCGAUGUCCGGAGUGGACCGGUACUAAUAGGCCGAGGACUUGAUCAGAAAAGAGA